rnacentral:rRNA from 1 species
AUUGAACGCUGGCGGCAGGCCUAACACAUGCAAGUCGAACGGUAACAGGAAACAGCUUGCUGUUUCGCUGACGAGUGGCGGACGGGUGAGUAAUGUCUGGGAAACUGCCUGACGGAGGGGGAUAACUACUGGAAACGGUAGCUAAUACCGCAUAACGUCGCAAGACCAAAGAGGGGGACCUUCGGGCCUCUUGCCAUCGGAUGUGCCCAGAUGGGAUUAGCUAGUAGGUGGGGUAACGGCUCACCUAGGCGACGAUCCCUAGCUGGUCUGAGAGGAUGACCAGCCACACUGGAACUGAGACACGGUCCGGACUCCUACGGGAGGCAGCAGUGGGGAAUAUUGCACAAUGGGCGCAAGCCUGAUGCAGCCAUGCCGCGUGUAUGAAGAAGGCCUUCGGGUUGUAAAGUACUUUCAGCGGGGAGGAAGGGAGUAAAGUUAAUACCUUUGCUCAUUGACGUUACCCGCAGAAGAAGCACCGGCUAACUCCGUGCCAGCCGCCGCCGUAA